rnacentral:rRNA from 1 species
ACGGAAGGCAGCAGUGGGGAAUAUUGCACAAUGGGGGAAACCCUGAUGCAGCGACGCCGCGUGAGUGAAGAAGUAUUUCGGUAUGUAAAGCUCUAUCAGCAGGAAAGAAAAUGACGGUACCUGACUAAGAAGCCCCGGCUAACUACGUGCCAGCAGCCGCGGUAAUACGUAGGGGGCAAGCGUUAUCCGGAUUUACUGGGUGUAAAGGGAGCGUAGACGGCUUUGCAAGUCUGAAGUGAAAGCCCGGGGCUCAACCCCGGAACUGCUUUGGAAACUGUAGAGCUAGAGUGCAGGAGAGGUAAGUGGAAUUCCUAGUGUAGCGGUGAAAUGCGUAGAUAUUAGGAGGAACACCAGUGGCGAAGGCGGCUUUCUGGACUGUAACUGACACUGAGGCUCGAAAGCGUGGGGAGCAAACAGGAUUAGAUACCCUGGUA